UACGUAGGGUGCGAGCGUUGUCCGGAAUUAUUGGGCGUAAAGGGCUCGUAGGCGGUUUGUCGCGUCGGGAGUGAAAUCCACUGCUUAACUGGUGGCUUGCUUUCGAUACGGCAGACUGGAGGUAUGCAGGGAGACGUGAAUUCCUGGUGUAGCGGUGAAAUGCGCAGAUAUCAGGAGGAACACCGGUGGCGAAGGCGGUC
rnacentral:rRNA from 1 species